rnacentral:rRNA from 1 species
AGCAGCCGCGGUAAUUCCAGCUCCAAUAGCGUAUAUUAAAGUUGUUGCAGUUAAAAAGCUCGUAGUUGAAUUUCGGGAUCAAUAUGUUGGUCGUGCCUCGGUACGUACUAGCAUAUUGGUUUCUCCUUUCUGAAGAACCAUGAUGUCAUUUAUUUGGUGUCGUGGGGAACCAGGACUGUUACUUUGAAAAAUUAGAGUGUUUAAAGCAGGCUCACGCUUGAAUACAUUAGCAUGGAAUAAUGAAAUAGGACGUUUGAUUCUAUUUUGUUGGUUUCUAGGAUCGACGUAACGAUUAAUAGGGAUAGUUGGGGGCAUUAGUAUUCAAUUGUCAGAGGUGAAAUUCUUGGAUUUAUUGAAGACUAACUACUGCGAAAGCAUUUGUCCAAGGAUGUUUUCAUUAAUCAAGAACGAAAGUUAGGGGAUCGAAGACGAUCAGAUACCGUCGUAGUC